GUUCGUGUAUAUAUUUUACAGAAACGUGAAAUCAAAGUUGGGGAUAAAGUAGCCGGAAGACAUGGGAAUAAAGGGAUCAUUUCCAAAAUUUUGCCUAGGCAAGAUAUGCCCUAUUUGCAAGAUGGAACAACAUAUCCGUUUUUCGAGUCCAUGAUAUAA
rnacentral:rRNA from 1 species